AACGUAGGAGACAACCGUUAUCCGGAUUUACUGGGCGUAAAGGGCGUGUAGGUGGUUUUGUAAGUCUGGCGUGAAAUUUUUCGGCUUAACCGGGAAAGGUCGUCGGAUACUGCAGGACUAGAGGACGGUAGAGGCGUGUGGAAUUCCGGGUGUAGUGGUGAAAUGCGUAGAGAUCCGGAGGAACACCAGUGGGGAAGGCGACACGCUGGGCCGUACCUGACACUGAUGCGCGAAAGCAUGGGGAGCAAACAGG
rnacentral:rRNA from 1 species